AUUGAACGCUGGCGGCAUGCCUUACACAUGCAAGUCGAACGGCAGCACGGGUGCUUGCACCUGGUGGCGAGUGGCGAACGGGUGAGUAAUACAUCGGAACAUGUCCUGUAGUGGGGGAUAGCCCGGCGAAAGCCGGAUUAAUACCGCAUACGAUCUACGGAUGAAAGCGGUGGACCUUCGGGCCUCGCGCUAUAGGGUUGGCCGAUGGCUGAUUAGCUAGUUGGUGGGGUAAAGGCCUACCAAGGCGACGAUCAGUAGCUGGUCUGAGAGGACGACCAGCCACACUGGGACUGAGACACGGCCCAGACUCCUACGGGAGGCAGCAGUGGGGAAUUUUGGACAAUGGGCGAAAGCCUGAUCCAGCAAUGCCGCGUGUGUGAAGAAGGCCUUCGGGUUGUAAAGCACUUUUGUCCGGAAAGAAAUCCUUGGCCCUAAUACGGUCGGGGGAUGACGGUACCGGAAGAAUAAGCACCAGCUAACUACGUG
rnacentral:rRNA from 1 species